rnacentral:rRNA from 1 species
UACGUAGGGUCCGAGCGUUGUCCGGAAUUAUUGGGCGUAAAGAGCUCGUAGGCGGUUUGUCGCGUCUGCUGUGAAAUCCCGAGGCUCAACCUCGGGUCUGCAGUGGGUACGGGCAGACUGGAGUGCGGUAGGGGAGAAUGGAAUUCCUGGUGUAGCGGUGAAAUGCGCAGAUAUCAGGAGGAACACCAAUGGCGAAGGCAGCUCGCUGGGACGGUACUGACGCUGAGGCGCGAAAGCGUGGGGAGCAAACAGG